AUUGAACGCUGGCGGCAUGCUUUACACAUGCAAGUCGAACGGCAGCGCGGGGCAACCUGGCGGCGAGUGGCGAACGGGUGAGUAAUACAUCGGAACGUACCCAGAAGUGGGGGAUAACGUAGCGAAAGUUACGCUAAUACCGCAUACGUUCUACGGAAGAAAGUGGGGGACCUUCGGGCCUCAUGCUUUUGGAGCGGCCGAUGUCUGAUUAGCUAGUUGGUGAGGUAAAGGCUCACCAAGGCGACGAUCAGUAGCUGGUCUGAGAGGACGACCAGCCAGACUGGGACUGAGAAACGGCCCAGACUCCUACGGGAGGCAGCAGUGGGGAAUUUUGGACAAUGGGCGCAAGCCUGAUCCAGCAAUGCCGCGUGAGUGAAGAAGGCCUUCGGGUUGUAAAGCUCUUUUGUCAGGGAAGAAACGGCUGGGGUUAAUACCUUCGGCUAAUGACGGUACCUGAAGAAUAAGCACCGGCUAACUACGUGCCAGCCGCCGCCGUAAAAC
rnacentral:rRNA from 1 species